CUUUUUGUAGGUGACCCUAUCUUUCUUUCUGGCUGCCCUUACAAUUUUUUCCUUCUUUUUGACUUUGGAGAAUCUGAAGAUUAUGUGUGUUGGUGUUAAUCUUCUCAUGGAGUAUCUUACUGAGGUUCUCUGAAUUUCCUGAAUUUGAAUGUUGGCUUGUCUUGCUAGGUUGGGGAAGUUCUCCUGGAUAAUAUCUUAAAUAGGGCUGCUGCAGUUUGCUGGGGUGAACUCCAGACCUGAAUUUCCUGGGUCUCUCCUGCACCCGGAGAUGUCACCAGUGGAGGCUGCAGAAGAGAAAAGAUGACUGCCUCUUCUUCUGGGAUCUCUGUCCCACAGGGACUCUGACCUGGUGCUGGUGGAAAUGCUUCUAUACAAGGUCACGCCAAAUGCCUAGUCAACCCUAAUGAGAGAACCUAGAUACCUCACCUGCCGAUGCAGCAUUCACUUGCCAUUUUCUUUCUUCUUGGUGGGCGUUUCCGACCAUAGCUGUUUCUAGUUGGCCAUCUUGGCACCCCACCUCUUAAUACUGUCACAAUUACAAUAGAAUUUGAACAUGAGUCUUGAUACGAAUAUUCAAACCAUAACAUCCAGUCUACUGAAGAGGCCAUUAAAGUCACUGACCAUUUGGAAGACCAAGGCGGGAAGAUUACUUGAGGUCAGGAGUUCGAGGCCAGCCUGGCCAACAUGGUGAAACCCUGUCUCUACCAAAAAUACAACACUUAGCCAGGUGUGUUGGCACAUGCCUGUAGUCACAACUACUCGGGAGGCUGAGGCAGGAGAAUCGCUUGAACCCAGAAGGCGGAGGUUGCAGUGAGCAGAGAUGGUGCCACUGCACAACAGCCUUUUUAGACUCUGUCUCAAAAAAAGAAAAAAGAAAAAAGUUACUUAUCAUGAUAGUUCAAGAUGAUGCUUUGUCUUGGAUACUUUUACACAUGUAAAGUCAAAUGAGAGAAUUUAAGUUAUUUGGGGAAUUAUUUUAAAAGCCAUAUUGUUCCCCUUAUCAAAUACUCCUAAAACCUACUAAAACCUAAGUGCCACUUUCUUAGAUUUUCCAGAACACUCUAAGCAUUUAUAACAGUAGUUAGUACAACGUUCUGUAAAUAUUGGUUUAGGGGUUAGUCUCUUCAGUUUAGUAACAUUUCAUUAACCACCAUGAAUGGCAUAGUGUAUAUUUUUCAUUUGUAUUCCACAAAAAUUUGUAAAAUAAACAUCC
rnacentral:lncRNA from 1 species